GUAACUAACACACUUCCAUCACAGGUAACAUGUUACACCUACACAGGUAACUAACACACUUCCAUCACAGGUAACAUCUUACACCUACACAGGUAACUAACACACUUCCAUCACAGGUAACAUGUUACACCUACACAGGUAACUAACACACUUCCAUCACAGGUAGUUAUUACAUGUUUUUGUCCUGACAUGUGAACACCUUUACAUGUUAUAUGUUUCAGACUCAGAAUACUCCAGGAUUCUGCUCCACGCCUGGGUUCCUCUGCUUCCUGCCUGGAGGUGUAAAAAGAAAUAUGGUGAUCGUUUCACAGGACGCAUGCUGUGUGCAGGGAGCCUGUCAGAGCGCCACCGUGUGGACAGUUGCCAGGGCGACAGUGGGGGUCCUCUGGUUUGUCAGGGGGAGGGAGGCCGCUGGGUACUGACGGGGGUGAUCUCAUGGGGUCAUGGAUGUGGAAACCCAUCGUUUCCUGGAGUGUACACACGUGUCAGCAGGUUCCUGCGAUGGAUUGAUAAGAUAAUCAAUAAACCCUACAAGAGCUGAAGACAGAGGAAGACACAAAACACUAACAGGGGCGGCUUUAAAUAACUAAGACUGAAGAUGGUUGAACAGUCAGUAUGAACACUAGGGGGCACUAAAUUGACAAGGUGAUCAACAAACUGUACAAGACCUGAAGAAGAAACACUGAGGGGCACAAACUUUACAUAACUGAGGAGUUAAUGGUUUCACAACAUUGUGAUAAGACAAUGUGAAAACAAACAAUGGGACACCAAUAUAACAAUGUUUGGCGGAUUCAAUAUAAAAACAAAAAACAAAGGUGGAGUGAGAGUGGAACGUGGUUACGGUGCUGCGGUGGACUGGAGAUGUAAAGGAGUCUAGUCUCAGAGCUCUAACAGUCUCUCUCUGUAUAUGAAGCCUGAUGCUCAUGAUUCUGUGCUGGGUCAUCUCAACUCUUAAUUUUGUUUUCUCACUGCAAUAAGCCUGUAAAUGUGUAUUAACAUGUAAAUGUGUAUGAAUGAGUUAUCUGAUAUUUCAAACUGGUUUUGAUGAAAAAAGCAGUGGAAUAAAAAGGUUUACAAAGCUCA